UUUCCGUAGGUGAACCUGCGGAAGGAUCAUUCAUAAUAAAGUGUUUUAUGGCACUUUUUAAAAAUCCAUACCCACCUUGUGUGCAAUGUUAGAUCUCGUCAAUCUUGGCGAGAUUUUUAUACAUCAACUCAUUCUUUAACUAAUUUGUCUGAAUAAUAUUAUGAAUACUUAAUUCAAAAUACAACUUUCAACAACGGAUCUCUUGGCUCUC
rnacentral:misc_RNA from 1 species